UUCUUUUUUCUUUGUUGGGAGUUGCACAUGCUCAGCAGCUACGUAAGGACUACUAGCCAGUCAGAAGCAGAGUAUGAGAGAAUGCCAGGCUAGCAGCUAAGGGAGCCAU